GCGUAUAGCUCAGUUGGUUAGAGCGCCACGUUCACAUCGUGGAAGUCGUAGGUUCGAGUCCUACUACGCCC
rnacentral:tRNA from 1 species